AGAGUUUGAUCAUGGCUCAGGAUGAACGCUAGCUACAGGCUUAACACAUGCAAGUCGAGGGGAAACGACAUCGAAAGCUUGCUUUUGAUGGGCGUCGACCGGCGCACGGGUGAGUAACGCGUAUCCAACCUGCCCAUCACUUGGGGAUAACCUUGCGAAAGUAAGACUAAUACCCAAUGACGUCUCUAGAAGACAUCUGAAAGAGACUAAAGAUUUAUCGGUGAUGGAUGGGGAUGCGUCUGAUUAGCUUGUUGGCGGGGUAACGGCCCACAAGGCGACGAUCAGUAGGGGUUCUGAGAGGAAGGUCCCCCANAUUGGAACUGAGACACGGUCCCAAACUCCCUACGGGAGGCA
rnacentral:rRNA from 1 species